rnacentral:rRNA from 1 species
AACGAACGCUGGCGGCAGGCCUAACACAUGCAAGUCGAGCGCGCCCUUCGGGGUGAGCGGCGGACGGGUGAGUAACGCGUGGGAACGUGCCCUUUUCUACGGAAUAGCCUCGGGAAACGGAGAGUAAUACCGUAUACGACCUCUGGGGGACAGAUUUAUCGGAAAAGGAUCGGCCCGCGUUGGCUCAGGCAGUGGGUGGGGUAAUGGCCUACCAAGCCGACGAUCCAUAGCCGGUUUGAGAGGAUGAUCAGCCACACUGGGACUGAGAUACGGCCCAGACUCCUACGGGAGGCAGCAGUGGGGAAUCUUAGACAAUGGGGGCAACCCUGAUCGAGCCAUGCCGCGUGAGUGAUGAAGGCCUUAGGGUUGUAAAGCUCUUUCAGCUGGGAAGAUAAUGACGGUACCAGAAGAAGAAGCCCCGGCUAACUCCGUG